rnacentral:rRNA from 1 species
AGUGAACGCUGGCGGUAGGCCUAACACAUGCAAGUCGAACGGCAGCACAGUAAGAGCUUGCUCUUACGGGUGGCGAGUGGCGGACGGGUGAGGAAUACAUCGGAAUCUACUUUUUCGUGGGGGAUAACGUAGGGAAACUUACGCUAAUACCGCAUACGACCUACGGGUUAAAGCAGGGGAUCUUCGGACCUUGCGCGAUUGAAUUAGCCGAUGUCGGAUUAGCUAGUUGGCGGGGUAAAGGCCCACCAAGGCGACGAUCCGUAGCUGGUCUGAGAGGAUGAUCAGCCACACUGGAACGGAGACACGGUCCAGACUCCUACGGGAGGCAGCAGUGGGGAAUAUUGGACAAUGGGCGCAAGCCUGAUCCAGCCAUACCGCGUGGGUGAAGAAGGCCUUCGGGUUGGAAAGCCCUUUUGUUGGGAAAGAAAAGCAGCAGGUUAAUACCCCGCUGUUCUGACGGUACCCAAAGAAGAAGCACCGGCUAACUUCGUG